UACGUAGGGUGCGAGCGUUAAUCGGAAUUACUGGGCGUAAAGCGUGCGCAGGCGGUUUGUAAGCCAGAUGUGAAAUCCCCGGGCUUAACCUGGGAAUGGCAUUUGGGACUGCAAGGCUGGAGUACGGCAGAGGAGACUGGAAUUCCUGGUGUAGCAGUGAAAUGCGUAGAGAUCAGGAGGAAUACCGAUGGCGAAGGCAGGUCUCUGGGCUGAUACUGACGCUCAUGCACGAAAGCGUGGGGAGCAAACAGG
rnacentral:rRNA from 1 species